ensembl:lncRNA LINC00603 long intergenic non-protein coding RNA 603
GGAGAAGACAUUUUUGAGAUGCAGUCUUAGAGAUUAGUGAAGAUUUAACUAAAACAUUGAUACUACAUGGUCUAAAUGAGGCAGAGAGAGCAUUUUAGAUGUGAUUCCGGGCCACCACAUUGCAUCAUUCUAGGAGCUGCCAUUGACAUUGUCUUCUUUGCAUGCCCCAAGGAGUGUUCAUCCCCAUAAUAGAAAAUGAUAAGAUUACACUCUGACACCAAGCCCUGCCCUUGUGGGAAGUAUGAUAAGCCUCAAGGCAAACAAUUCUUCCUUCGCGAUUGCAGUCUGGGCACCUGAUGAUAUAGAAUGACUCAUUGGACUCCUGCCUCUUCUACUUCAUUCUUACCAUGAGCUCCCCUAGAAGAUGUAGUCUUCCACCGUUACCAAAAUCUGCAACCAGAAAGAUCAAGCUCUAGGAAGCAGUACACACUAUACUCCUGUGUGGAAACAAAGUAAUCCUCAUCAGAUCAUCUAACUUGCUGUUGCUGUAAGGACUGUGAAUUGGUAGCAAUAAAUAAGCCAUGGGAAAUAGGAGGGAAAACACCAUCAAUGACAAUAAAAACUGAAUGU